GCACAGACACACAAAGAUUACAGCUGAUAUCUGCUAAAACCUGCUGCUCAACUUGACACAAAUCCAAUCUCUGGGCAGUUCUGUGACUGUGAGCAUACACUGAUGCCAUCAAGCCAACCGGCAGAGCAGCCAGCCCACGCCUGAUGUUCCCUGGAUACAGCGUGGAGCCGGGCUGAACGGCGAUGACAGAUGGGUGCUGAGAUACCAGAGACCUGUGAGGCAGUCACUUUCCCCCCACAGACAGUAUGUGAAAGAUCCGCCUUUACCGAACGCUGAUCCUGCCCAUUCUACUAUACGGCACCGAGACGUGGACAAUGCUCAAACACGACCUGAGCAAGCUCGAAGUUUUCCAAAUGUGUUGCCUUUUGAUGCGUUCUCUGCAUUUCCCUUCGCGAACGUCAUUUGAAUGACGCCAUCCUCACCAGCUGCGGCAGCCAACUAACGAUCGGCGACCUAAUCCAGCGCCGCCGACUCCGUUGGUUUGGCCACAUUUGUCGAAUGGACCCGAGCCGCUGCCCCCAUGGCCUACUCUGGUUGACCCGCUCCACUGAUUGGAGGAUGCAUCAAAAUGCACCAAAGAAGACAUGGAUGAAACAAAUUCAGGAUGAUUUGAAGGCCCUUCGACUUGACCUCGAGCAGGCAAGAACCAUCGCCUUAGAUCGAGAAGCGUGGAAGAUAAUCGUUGGUCAAGCAAGACAACCUGCGGCACCUACAGCAGCGUACUGGUUGCGCAGCCGACCACCGCCGCUGGACGCCCGCUAAGGACAAGAAGAAUGUUCCACAAAUAGUUACAUCCGCUUUUCAAGCAAUAACCAAGAUCCCCCAGGAAGCAAACUGCAUGUUCUUCAGAAAAUAGCAGAGGUGUUUCUGUUUUUAAUCAGUGUUUUAAUAUUUAUAAAUGCUUAAGAUUUAGUAAAUGUAUUUUUAUUUUAAUAUGUAACUUGCAUGUAACCAAAAAUGUGG
ensembl:lncRNA